UACAGAGGUCCCAAGCGUUGUUCGGAUUUACUGGGCGUAAAGGGUGCGCAGGCGGUUUUGUAAGCCAGAUGUGAAAUCCCCGGGCUUAACCUGGGAAUGGCAUUUGGGACUGCAAGGCUGGAGUGUGGCAGAGGAGACUGGAAUUCCUGGUGUAGCAGUGAAAUGCGUAGAUAUCAGGAGGAAUACCGAUGGCGAAGGCAGGUCUCUGGGCUGACACUGACGCUCAUGCACGAAAGCGUGGGGAGCAAACAGG
rnacentral:rRNA from 1 species